UACAGAGGUCUCAAGCGUUGUUCGGAUUCAUUGGGCGUAAAGGGUGCGUAGGCGGCGCGGUAAGUCGGGUGUGAAAUCUCGGGGCUUAACUCCGAAACUGCAUUCGAUACUGCCGUGCUUGAGGACUGGAGAGGAGACUGGAAUUUACGGUGUAGCGGUGAAAUGCGCAGAUAUCAGGAGGAACACCAAUUGCGAAGGCAGCUCGCUGGGACGUAACUGACGCUGAGACGCGAAAGCGUGGGGAGCAAACAGG
rnacentral:rRNA from 1 species